CAACAGAUUGAACUUGGGUGAAAAUUCCAACUCAGAAAAUGGGAAAUCAUUACAGACAAUAUGGAAUCAAUGGAAGAAGGAAAUAAUACUUGUGUCCUCGGGCGUUGUACUGCUAAGUGGAAUAUUUGGCUUCUUGUUUGGAGUUUGUUUUUCAUUUUAUAGAAAAAACAAGUCAAUCAAGAGAUACACAGAAAGAAAAUGUACUUAUUCCAUAAAUUCUGAACUCUAUGAGCAAAUCAGCGAUAAAUCAAGUAUAAUACAGGGAAAUACGCAAACCAUUCCUGAACAAAAUAUCAGCAAUACAACUAAAGCUGUCAACCCCUGCGAUCCUCCCAUCUGUAAUCAUGAAAGUGAAACAAACACGAACACCGAAUUUGAGUACAGCCAUGUUUAUAAUAUCUUAGAACCAAACUAUGGGACAAGAUGUACUUCACAAUCGAGCAAUCUAUCGAAAGUGGAAAGUGUGUAUUCUUUGCCAAGGUGUCUUAGUCUCGAGAUA